rnacentral:rRNA from 1 species
UACGUAGGGGGCGAGCGUUGUCCGAAGUUACUGGGCGUAAAGCGCGCGUAGGCGGUCCUUUAAGUCUGGGGUGAAAGGUUCAACGCUCAAUGUGAACAGUGCCUUGGAGACUGGGGGACUUGAGUGUGGGAGGGGGCAGUGGAAUUCCUGGUGUAGCGGUGAAAUGCGUAGAUAUCAGGAGGAACACCUGUGGCGAAAGCGGCUCACUGGACCACAACUGACGCUGAGGCGCGAAAGCUAGGGGAGCAAACAGG